GACGAACCGAGCGAACGUUGUUCGGAAUCACUGGGCUUAAAGGGCGCGUAGGCGGGUGCUCAAGUCCGGGGUGAAAUCCCACAGCUCAACUGUGGAAUUGCCUCGGAUACUGGGUGUCUCGAGGGUGGUAGGGGUAUGCGGAACUAUCGGUGGAGCGGUGAAAUGCGUUGAUAUCGAUAGGAACUCCGGUGGCGAAGGCGGCAUACUGGACCACUUCUGACGCUGAGGCGCGAAAGCCAGGGAGCAAACGGG
rnacentral:rRNA from 1 species